rnacentral:rRNA from 1 species
AGUGAACGCUGGCGGUAGGCCUAACACAUGCAAGUCGAACGGCAGCACAGUAAGAGCCUGCUCUUACGGGUGGCGAGUGGCGGGCGGGUGAGGAAUACAUCGGAAUCUACUUUUUCGUGGGGGAUAACGUAGGGAAACUUACGCUAAUACCGCAUACGACCUACGGGUGAAAGCAGGGGGUCUUCGGACCUUGCGCGAUUGAAUGAGCCGAUGUCGGAUUAGCUAGUUGGCGGGGUAAAGGCCCACCAAGGCGACGAUCCGUAGCUGGUCUGAGAGGAUGAUCAGCCACACUGGAACUGAGACACGGUCCAGACUCCUACGGGAGGCAGCAGUGGGGAAUAUUGGACAAUGGGCGCAAGCCUGAUCCAGCCAUACCGCGUGGGUGAAGAAGGCCUUCGGGUUGUAAAGCCCUUUUGUUGGGAAAGAAAAGCAGCAGGUUAAUACCCCGCUGUUCUGACGGUACCCAAAGAAUAAGCACCGGCUAACUUCGUG